AAAGACACUUCCGGGGCACGCGAGAAAAAGGGGGGCAAAAGGUUAGAGGUCUCUGGCACGCGCGGGUUAGACUAGUUAACGUUGGCCGAUGACUAACCGUUACUGUCCCGGGUUGUUGUUCCUUUAGUUUGUAGCGACAAUAAAACCUCUCUGUGAGCAGCUCGACGGAUCAUCUGUCACACCGGUGUCGGUCAGAGUGAUCGCUUUGUAACCGGGGCAGCUUUCUGGGAAAAGUUUGGGCGGUUGGAGUGACGUUAGCGCCGCCAUGCUCCCUGUUGAUCCGGUAAAGUUCACCAUAGCAGAGUCGGGACAUCGUGUGGAUUAAAACAGUUGCUUGCAGUUGAUUGAAAGUGCCGCUGUGACUUUCAGUUUCUUUCCAUGUGCCUGGGCCUCAUGAUGUCAGAUUUCCCUCUGCGUCUGCUCUCAGCAAGAUUUGUGGAAAUGCCAUCAUCCCUGUGAACAUCAAAAAUCAAAGCAGAGAUAACAUUCAGUGCACCCAAGCCUUGUUGAUGAGAGGUGACAGAUGAUCGGCUGCUUGAGUCCAUGAAACUGCCAAAAUGACUUCAAUCGUAGGACUCCCUACACAAGGGUCAGAUGUAACAAUUCUCAUAACAAAGGUCCACCUGCAUCCCCUUUGUGUGCUCGUAGAGUUCUGGGGAAAAUUUAAUCAGCAGAAAACAGGGGCUUAUGAGUGCCUGGCCAAAGACAUUCAAUCCCCUGGUGAAAUAUUCCAACAGUUUGAAGGAAAUUCUGGCGACCAGUGCCUGGUGCAGAUUGAUGGCACUUGGUACAGGUCCCGCAUAGUCUCAAGACAUGGCUCCAAAUACAGUGUGUUCCUCAUUGACAAAGGAGUAACAUUUAACACUUCCUCUAGUGAGCUUGCAUGGGGUCAGAAAAAGCACUUCUGCCUGCCACCUGAAGUGGAAUUUUGUGUGCUGGCUAAUGUAUUACCACUUUCAGCUGAGAACAGGUGGUCUUCAGUGGCUCUCGAGUUCCUGAGAUCGCUCUCUGGGAAGUCUGUGAAGGCACACGUGCAAGAUGUACUGUUGCUCCACAGAGCAUUUGUACUGCACAUCCCUUGCAUAUCCAAACAAAUGUAUGAGAUGGGAAUUGCCAAGAAGAUGUCCCCAGACAUCUUCCAGGACUUUGUCCUGAAGACACUGCAGUCCCACAGUGGAGCUGAAGUUUCUGCAGCGACUGGGCUCACUUCAGAGGGAGAAGGUGAGAGACUGCACAAAAAAGAGAUCUUCAUGUACCCAGAGCUGCAAGCAGGAACUGUGGAGACUGUUACAGUCACAGACGUCACAAAUCCCCACAGAAUAUUUUGCCAGUUGAAAGUAUUCUCUCAAGAGUUGAGGAAACUCUCUGAGCGGAUCACGCAGUGUUGUGAGGGAAGAAAGACCACAUGUCUUGUAGGUCCAGAUAUUAUCGGGUUUCCAUGUGCUGCAAGAGGAAGUGAUGGCAGGUGGUAUCGCUCUGUUUUACAGCAGGUACUCCCAACCAACCAAGUGGUUGAAGUGUUGAAUGUCGACUAUGGAACGAAACAGUUUGUUCAAGUGGAGAAUGUAAGACCACUGGCCACAGACUUCUUCAGGAUGCCAGUUGUGACUUAUAUGUGCUCCCUCCACGGAAUUGUUGACAAUGGGGUUGGUUGGACAGCCAGCCAAGUUGACUAUCUCAAAACCCUUCUUCUCAACAAGACAAUGAUUGCCAAAUUUGAGUACCAAAGCAUCUCUGAGGGUGUGUACUACGUCACACUCUACGGGGAUGAAAACACAAACAUUAACAAGUUGUUUGCUUCAAACAUGAGCUGUUCCCUGGAGAGUGAUAAAAUGCUUGGAGAUUAUGCUAUCCGUAACGUUCCAUCCAGACGACAGCAUCCACCUCAGCAAGACAGAUCUGAGAGAAAGAUGUCAGAAAAAGAAGAAGGGAAAGGAGUAGUGGAGAAGUUGCCAACUGAAGACCUCUCUCUCAACUCCUCACAUGUUGCAGUUAUUCAGCAUGUAUCUGACCCAUCAGAGUUCUGGAUCCAAACUCAGAACUAUGCAAAUGAGUUGGAUGAAAUAAUGGAUCGCAUCCAUUACUUGUACAAAGACUCAGUGAAUACAGAUGUAAGAAAUCCAACAGUUGGACUGUACUGCGCCUCUAAGGCAGAAGAUGGUGAUUUCUACAGAGCAGCUGUGACUGAGGUUGGUGAGACCAAAGUCAAAGUGUUUUUUGUUGAUUACGGGAACACUGAAGAUGUUGACAGGAGUAACAUCAGGAUGCUACCUGACGAGUUCAAAAAGCUGCCACGCCUUGCAUUGAAAUGCACACUGGCUGGUAUCAGGCCAAAAGGACAAAAAUGGAGCGAAAGCGCCUGUGAGGUUUUCAUCAAAGCAACAGAAGACAAAGCACUAAAUUUACAUGUUUCAGGAAAAUAUGAUAUGUGCUAUGUUGUCCAACUAGCAGAUCCUGAAGCACAGGGAGAGAGAGAUCUUGCUGCACUUAUGUGUAGUUCCGGUCAUGCGGAAAGUGCUGAGACACAGAGACAACCCAAAGUCAAAAUGCCUGUGCAAACUGCUGGUCUGCCAACAGGACAACUUCCAGAUGCCAGUCUCUCAGGUGCACACAUCAACCAUGGAACUUCUUUUCAGACCCAAAAUGCAGUCAAUGUUGCUGGUAAUCAAAGAAGACCUCCUGCCUUCAAGGAGCACAUGUUUCCUACAGGUAGUGUCCUAGAUGUCAGUGUGUCCUACAUCGAAAGCCCAAACGACUUCUGGUGCCAGCUAGUACAAAAUGCAGGACUCCUGAAAUUGCUCAUGUAUGACAUUCAGGCUUACUAUCAAGGCAGUGAGUUUGAACCUCCCGUGGAGACCACUUGUGUUGCUCGCCACCCUGACAAUAGAAAGUGGUACAGGGCCCUUGUGAUUCACAAACAUGAAACGCCUCAUGUGGAUGUCUUGUUUGUUGACUAUGGCCAAACAGAAACUGUUUCCCUCUAUGAUCUGAGGAGGAUCUGCCCACAAUUUCUCGCUCUGCAUGGCCAAGCUUUCCGAUGCAGCCUGAUGAACCCUGUUGACCCAACGUCUGCCACAAAUGAGUGGAAUGAAGAAGCAACAGCAAAGUUUCACACCUUUGUGGAGACUGCUUCAUCUAACUUUGUGACUUUGAAGUGCACCAUCUACGCUGUCAUGUACAGCGAGCAGAAGAUUGUUUUCAACAUCGUGGAUCUGGAAACUCCCUUUGAGAGUGUCUCCACCAGUAUGGUCAAUCUACUCAAAAGUGCAUCCCCCAAGAAAGAAGCAGGGCUGUCUUUCCGCCUGGACACAUACUAUUACUCGACACACAACGUCAAAACUGGAACAGAGGAACAGGUCACAGUUACAUGUGUAAACGAUGUCAGCAAGUUCUACUGCCAGCUUGAGAGGAAUGCUGAAGUGACAAAUGAUCUCAAGAUCAAAGUAAACAAUCUCUGUCACCAGCUUGAAAAUGUAAAGCUCCCAACAGACUUUGGAGCUUUGUGCUUUGCAAAGUACACUGAUGGACAGUGGUACAGAGGACAGAUCAAGGCCACACGGCCAGCCAUUUUUGUCCAUUUUGUGGAUUAUGGUGACACCAUUGAAGUGGAAAAAUCUGACUUGCUUCCAGUUCCCAGAGAGGCUAAUGACAUCAUGUCUGUGCCUGUGCAAGCACUUGUGUGUAGUCUCUCUGAUGUCCCUGCUGAUGUUCCCAGUGAGAUGAACAGCUGGUUUGAGACUAGUGUGACAGAUUGCAAAUUCCGGGCACUAGUUGUAGCCAGAGAACCGGAUGGCAAACUUCAAGUUGAACUGUAUCAUGGAAACACUCAGAUCAAUUCAAAAAUCAAGAAGAUGUUUCAAAUUGAGGUGCACCCAGAAACAAUGGUUGUCCAUCAGAGUUGUGCGAAACCAGUGCGCAAAUGGAGGGAUGCUGACAAGAUUGUGCCCUCUGAACCUAAGCCUUCUCGCAACCAUUGUGAAAAUGGUCAGAAAGACAAAGGUGCUCCAUUAAAACUGUAUCAACCUCCACACCAAAGGAAACCAUGGGAAAGAACUCAGCGUACAAGAAAUGGUUCUGAGCCAGCAGCUGCCAAAAUCAAACCAAGGAAAACGAGUCCUCCUACAGAAACCAAACAGCUUGUCAAGUCCACACCGUCUGCCACAGAAUCCCAGAAAGAAAGCAAUGUUGAGAACCUCCCUCAGCUUGCAGACCUGCCUCCAAAAUCGAUCACAUCAGGCAUGACAGCUGAAGUUUACGUCUCGCAAUGCAACAGCCCAUUGAGUUUUUAUGUGCAACUUGUCAGUGAGGAGGAUGAAAUAAUCUCGUUGGUGGAAAAGCUCAAUGAUCCCAAAUGUAUCCCCCAAAGCGACUCCAUCAAAGAUGUGCAGCCAGGGGACCUUGUUCAAGCAGAGUUUGCAGAGGAUUCAUCAUGGUACCGGGCCGUUGUUAGAGAAAUUUAUAGUACUGCAAUAGCUCUCGUCGAGUUUGUUGACUUUGGAAACACAGCAAUUGUGCCAGUUUCCAAGUUAAGCAAACUCCAGAAGUCUUUCUUGGAGCUGCCCAUGUACAGCACACACUGUAUGCUGAGCAACGUGGCGACUCUCGGAGAUGAGAAAGUGCUGGAUCCAGAAGUGGUGUCAGCUUUCAAAGAAGACAUCAGUGGAAUUGGAACAAAGGUUCUCAAGUGCACCUUCAGCAGUCAAUCAGGAUCCGUGUGGGAAGUCAGCCUUGAAGACAGUGGUGUAAACCUCACAUGCAAAAUGCCUUCUAGCUUUUCAACUGAUGGUCCUGAGAGGAACUUGGGCAGAGAUGAACAAACUGAGGGAAAACCAGCUCAGAACCCUGACAUCAGGUCAGUGCCAGAGGACUCACAGAUAUCACUGAAGUCUUGUUCUCUGUGUUACCCCCAACGAGAGUUCUCAGAGGGGCAAACGUUAGAAGUCUACAUCUCGUCUACAAAUGAUGACAAGACAUUCUGGUGUCAGCCGGCGGACUCAGAGGAGCUCGAUAAGAUAACAAUAAGUGUCACAGAAGUUGGAGAAGCAGUCGUCAAGAAAGAUUUGGACCCUGCUGCUUUUCCCCUCGGCAGUCCAUGCAUUGCUCAAUUUGCAGAUGAUAAUCUUUGGUACCGGGCAGAAGUCAUCAGCAAAGAAGAAAAUGAGCUGUUUGUUUCCUUUGUAGAUUACGGAAACAAGUCCAAAGUCAGUGUUUCAGAUGUGAGAGAAAUACCCCAAGACCUGAUAAAAAGUCCUCCACAGGCCUUUUUGUGCAAGCUUGAAGGCUUGGGUGCUUCAAACGGAACCUGGGACAGCAGUGCAGUGGAUGAGCUGUCGGUACUUACAGCAAACAAAGCCUUACAGCUGACUGUCACUCGAGUAACCAGCGAAGAAGAAGAAGGUAAAAUCACAUGCUUUGUUCAGAUCAUAUGUGAGGGCCAGAUAAUGAACGAGGCACUGAAAACCUGGUGGAGGCCCUCCAUGGCAGAAAAAAAACCUGAUGAAGUUGAAGUGACUGAUUCAUACAGACGAUCACCGCCAUGUGACCCCACUGUGGAAGAGACUGCACCACUGGACAAUCAAUCAGAGCACCAAAGCCAAGAAAUGGAAGCUUCUGUGCCUUGCAGUCAUCCUCCAGGAGACCACAGUGACGAGCAGAGUGCUGAAGAGUAUGUCCAUUCUCAGUCCCUUGAGGUGUCUGCAGAGGAAGGUGACACCAAGGGCUGUGAACCUCAAAUACUAAUAAAGACAGAGAGUCUGAGUCUUUCCAAGGAAGAGGUGAGUACCAUAACUACUAUGGCGGUGUCUGAAACCAAACCGACAGACGUUUUGACAUGUGAUGAUGGCAUAGAAGAAACCAUGUUUCCUCCUCAAACUGACAAAGACACUGAAGAGAAGGUUUCUUUUGGACCUGAUGACAUAAAUUCUCUGCUGUGUGAGAAGCCUGCAGAGGACAUAAAUGAGUCGGGGAUCAUAAUGGAUGACCUACAGUCUCUGCCUGGAGAGGUUGAUACCUACAGCAUUGAAAGCAGCUUAGAUAAAACAGUGCUAUAUCCUGAAAUGAACACAUCCACAGAAGAGGAGUUUGGCUCAAUGUUGGACACUUUGGGACUCGAUGACAUAAAAUAUGUGUCGGAUGAAAACCUGACAGAGGCAGAUGAAUCAGGGAUCACAGAAACUGUCUUGGAGUUCCUGCUUGAGGAGGUUCAUACCCAAAGCAUGGAAAGCAGCUUUGACACCAUGACUUUUUCAGCUCCACCAGAAGAAAAGGACAGAGAUGUCUCUGAUUCAAGGGAGAGUUCUCUAACCAGCACAACUACUGUGAAAAUGGUCCCUCGUGAAGCCGUUUGGCCCAAUGAGAGCCUUAGUCUGUUUGAGAACACUGACCUGACUUCUGACGACUUGAAGCAGAAUCGGACAGAAGUAGCGCUGCCCUCAUGUGGGCUCCCUGCAUCCGAUAUUCAGUCAGAACAGGAAUCUGAACCUGAAGGUGGUGUCUUAAAGGAACAGGUGUCAUGUCUGACCACAGAUGACAAGAAUGACUUGAUGACCGAAGUGGAGAAUACGGCUCAUCAUGAGGACAUGUUUUCAGAUAUUCAGUCAGAACAGGAAUCUGAACCUGAAGGUGGUGUCCUAAAGGAACAGGUGUCAUGUGUGACCACAGAUGACAAGAAUGACUUGAUGACCGAAGUGGAGAAUACGGCUCAUCAUGAGGACAUGUUUUCAGGCCUUCCCUCUGACACUAAUGAAGCUUCCAUUGUGGAACACCCCUGCACAGCUUCCUCUAAUGAUGUGGAUGCUGAGGUGCUAGAGUUGACCUGUUCUGUUGAAGAGGCGUGUUUGACAGAUGUCUGCACAGAUCAUAAUGAGUCAAGUGACAGAGAAGUCCCCAGUGCAGGAGAGGAUCGUCUCAGCUGUGUGACAGCAGAUGAAACGGUCCAAAGUGAGUCACUGCUGUCUAGCACAGAGCUUCAUUGUGAACAGUCAGCUGAAGCUCUAACAGAGAAUGAAAUACAAGUCCAAGAUGUCUCCCUUCAGAAUGAGACCUCGUUCAUCAAGUCUUUGUUUCAGAAUACAUCGAUAUCAGAAGACGAGACAGAGGCUCUGCAGGAAGAUCAACUUUCUGCUCUGCCGUCAGACUCUGAACCUCAAGUCUGCACAAUUCCCUUUCCAGAUUUGAACAACCUGGUAGAAGAGGUGACCUGUCUUGUUGGGGAGAUAUGUCUGACAGAUGUCUGCAGAGACCCACAUAAAGAAACCGAAACAGAAGACCGUGAGCAGCUGGUGCAAACAUCCCCUGAACAGAAAGAGGGGGAGAUUGGCCUUAUGGGUGGACUUAACAGUGGAAAGAUGGAUGACAUAGACUGUACCAGAGAAGUGCAUGUAGCCACACUGAUGUCAUUCUAAUAAUUCGUGAAGUCUUGAGUGUAUUGCCUGAUACCAUCCUGUUGUUUUGGAAACAGAAGAUUUCAGUGCAGGUGUGCUCGAGGAAGAAGUGUCAUCCUCUGAUGACAGUUUCGAGGAACAGCUGUCAAAGAUAACUCAUCUCUCUCUGAAGAUUAACGAUGGCUCUGCUGAUCUUCUGCCUGUCGUGCAGCAGUCAGAGGAGUAACAACUGUUAAUGUGUCUUUAUCAGACACCUCACAGAAAUGUUUUAAGUUUUCUGAAACAGGUCAAGUCUUUUGUUGUGUUUGUUACUCUUGAUUUAUUGGAUGUACCUGUCAAGUUAUCUUUAACUGUAGCCCGUUGGCUAAUUUCAUUAACAUAAGAAACACAUCGUUAAAGGUGCCUCUGUGCAGUGAGAGCUGGCUUUAUCUUUAGAGUUUGUCCUUCAUGUCCAUUUUCCCACUCAGCCUUACUUUGAGCACUCUUGUUACAGAUGAUCUGUUCUGAUAAACUGCCACAAACUUGUUCAAGAAUGACUGAAUCUUUGGUUGAAUUUAAAAUAUGCAGCAGUUUGAGAGUUUUCUGUGUUUUGUGUGGAAACAUGCAUGCUGUUAAGCUGUAUUUAUGUUGGCACAAUAAAUAUGGUUACUGAUCCAGA